rnacentral:rRNA from 1 species
CAGUCGAACGGAACUGUUUUGAAAGAUUUCUUCGGAAUGAAUUUGAUUUAGUUUAGUGGCGGACGGGUGAGUAACGCGUGAGUAACCUGCCUUCAAGAGGGGGAUAACAUUCUGAAAAGAAUGCUAAUACCGCAUGACAUAUCGGAAUCACAUGGUUUUGAUAUCAAAGAUUUUAUCGCUUGAAGAUGGACUCGCGUCCGAUUAGUUAGUUGGUGAGGUAACGGCUCACCAAGACCGCGAUCGGUAGCCGGACUGAGAGGUUGAACGGCCACAUUGGGACUGAGACACGGCCCAGACUCCUACGGGAGGCAGCAGUGGGGGAUAUUGCGCAAUGGGGGCAACCCUGACGCAGCAACGCCGCGUGAAGGAUGAAGGUUUUCGGAUUGUAAACUUCUUUUAUUAAGGACGAAACUUGACGGUACUUAAUGAAUAAGCUCCGGCUAACUACGUGCCAGCAGCCGCGGUAAUACGUAGGGAGCAAGCGUUGUCCGGAUUUACUGGGUGUAAAGGGUGCGUAGGCGGCUUUGCAAGUCAGAUGUGAAAUCUAUGGGCUCAACCCAUAAACUGCAUUUGAAACUGUAGAGCUUGAGUGAAGUAGAGGCAGGCGGAAUUCCCCGUGUAGCGGUGAAAUGCGUAGAGAUGGG